rnacentral:rRNA from 1 species
CGUAGGUGGCGAGCGUUGUCCGGAAUGACUGGGCGUAAAGGGACGGUGUAGGCGGUCCUGUAAGUCUGGGGUGGAAAACCGGACGGCUCAACCGCCGGCCUGCCCUGGAAAACUGCGGGGCGUAGAGUGGGCGUAGAGGGCGAGCGGAAGUUACCCGGUUCGUAGCGGUGAAAUAGCGUAGAGAUCGGGAGGGAACACCCAGUGGCGGAAGGACGGCUGCCUGGGGCCGUAACUGACGCUGAGGCGCGAAAGCUGGGGGAGCAAACAGGAUU